rnacentral:rRNA from 1 species
AAACUAACAAGGAUUCCCCUAGUAGCGGCGAGCGAAGCGGGAAGAGCUCAAAUUUAUAAUCUGGCACCUUCGGUGUCCGAGUUGUAAUCUCUAGAAGUGUUUUCCGCGUUGGACCGCACACAAGUCUGUUGGAAUACAGCGGCAUAGUGGUGAGACCCCCGUAUAUGGUGCGGACGCCCAACGCUUUGUGAUACACUUUCGAAGAGUCGAGUUGUUUGGGAAUGCAGCUCAAAUUGGGUGGUAAAUUCCAUCUAAAGCUAAAUAUUGGCGAGAGACCGAUAGCGAACAAGUACCGUGAGGGAAAGAUGAAAAGCACUUUGGAAAGAGAGUUAACAGUACGUGAAAUUGUUGGAAGGGAAACGCUUGAAGUCAGACUUGCUUGCCGAGCAAUCGGUUUGCAGGCCAGCAUCAGUUUUCCGGGGUGGAUAAUGGUAGAGAGAAGGUAGCAGUUUCGGCUGUGUUAUAGCUCUCUGCUGGAUACACCUUGGGGGACUGAGGAACGCAGUGUGCCUUACGGCGGAUUUCUCGAGAUC